rnacentral:rRNA from 1 species
CCUACGGGAGGCUGCAGUGGGGAAUAUUGGACAAUGGGCGAAAGCCUGAUCCAGCCAUGCCGCGUGUGUGAAGAAGGCCUUCGGGUUGUAAAGCACUUUCAGUGGGGAAGAAAGCCUUGGGGCUAAUACCCUCGAGGAAGGACAUCACCCACAGAAGAAGCACCGGCUAACUCCGUGCCAGCAGCCGCGGUAAUACGGAGGGUGCGAGCGUUAAUCGGAAUUACUGGGCGUAAAGCGCGCGUAGGCGGUCUGAUAAGCCGGUUGUGAAAGCCCCGGGCUCAACCUGGGAACGGCAUCCGGAACUGUCAGGCUAGAGUGCAGGAGAGGAAGGUAGAAUUCCCGGUGUAGCGGUGAAAUGCGUAGAGAUCGGGAGGAAUACCAGUGGCGAAGGCGGCCUUCUGGACUGACACUGACGCUGAGGUGCGAAAGCGUGAGUAGCAAACAGGAUUAGAUACCCUUGUAGUC